rnacentral:rRNA from 1 species
UACAGAGGGUGCAAGCGUUGUUCGGAAUUAUUGGGCGUAAAGGGCGCGUAGGCGGUUCGGCAAGUCUCUAGUGAAAUCUCUGGGCUCAACUCAGAGUCUGCUGGGGAAACUGCCGGGCUUGAGUGCGGAAGGGGCUACUGGAAUUCUCGGUGUAGCGGUGAAAUGCGUAGAUAUCGAGAGGAACACCUGGCGGCGAAGGCGGGUAGCUGGGCCGACACUGACGGCUG